ACUGUACUCUCUUUAAUAAAACUAGCAGAUAUUAAAUCAAAACAGAGAGAAUGCAUGGCCACGCGAACAGAAUCCCAUCCACUCUACUUAAAAACUCCAGAUCCAUGUUUUGAGAGUUCUUGGCUGAUGACUGAGAAGUCUCUUUACCUGGAUAGUGCUCCAAUGUAUCACUCCGCAGGGUCAGUGAGACUUUUUUUCAUAACAUGUAUUACGCGAUCUGACCCAAAACGCUGCAAUUUACAUAUAUUUGUAUUUGUGCCUUUGCAUAAGCUCAUUUUUUAUAAAUGGUUUAUUCCUCCUGGACCAUUAUUUUAUCUAAUACGUGUAAUUUAACAUUUAAUUGGACCUAUUUCCGCGCCUAACGUUGACAGGCAGUGCUUAGGUCUCUCCUAAACAUGGCCACCAUGAUGGAGUAAAUGCUUCAACUUUAAAUUUCACAUUUUCAGAAGAAAACUUAAUUUUCUGUAUUCUAACAGGAAUGUUCCAACGGAAGAAAUGAUGUCAAACAUAAUCCAUAUGAAAUAUUUGAAGAAAGUUUCUUGUUGGAUUUAAUACUGGUUUAAGUUGGCUGGAAGCUGGAAAGGAAAAAAAAAGAAUUGCAUCAAUUCCAAUGUCAUCAGAGUACAAGAGUCUGGAUCCCUCUGACCACGGACCGUCUCCUCCCCUGAGCAGCACUGGGGGGGGCUCCCCCUCAGACAGCCCCUCCCCUGCCUCCACAGACAGGCGCCCCCGUGGCCGGCCUCGUAAGGAUGCAGGCGCGCCCACGCGAGUACCCACACCUCAAAAGAAGGGUCGUAGCAGAGGCCAGUCCCAGGCUGAGGAUGAGGACAGCAUGGACGGGACAGAGACCACUGAAGCCCAGAACAUGCAGGGGAUGGGUGAGCUGACUGUCUUGGUUGUUAUGGAAAUGGGUUUGUUUGUGUAUACAAUGAAUUCGGAAAGUGUUCAGACCCCUUGACUUUUCCCACAUUUAGUUACGUUACAGCUUUAUUUUAAAAUGUGUAAAAUUCUUUCUUCCCCUCAUCAGUAUACACACAAUACCCCCACGAUGGUAAAGUGAAAACAGAUUUUUAGGCAUUUUUGCACAUUUAUAAAAUAUACCUUAUUUACAUAAGUAUUCAGACCCUUUGCUAUGAGACUCGAAAUGGAGCUCAGGUGCAUCCUGUUUCCAUUGAUCAUGUUUCAGAUGUUUCUACAACUUGAUUGGAGUCCACCUGUGGUAAGUUCAAUUGGUUGGACAUAUUUUGGAAAGGCACACCAAAUCAAAAUCUAUUUUUUAUUUGUCACAUGUGCCGAAUACAACAGGUGAAGACCUUACAGUGAAAUGCUUACUUACAAGCCCUUUACCAACAAUGCAGGUUUAAGAAAAAUAAGUGUUAAAAGUAUUUACUAAAAUAAACUGAAGUAAAAAAAUAACAUAAUUAACUUCUUGGGGCUAUGUGGGACGCUAGCGUGCCACCCGUGGUGCACCCUAUCAACAGCAGGUGCAUUUCAAGAGCGGCAAAUUUGAAACCAAAUAAAUGUCAAAAUUCAAAUUUUUCAAACAUACAACUAUCUUACACCCUUUGAAAGAUAAACAUCUCCUUAAUCUAACCACGUUGUCCGAUUUUCAAAAAGGUUUUACGGCGAAAGCAUAAAGUUAGAUUAUGUUAGGAGAGUACAUUGACAAUAGCUGUGUGUAAUGUUUUGUCAAUUCAAAGACAGGGUCACCAAACCAUAAAACCAGCUAAAAUGAUGCACUAACCUUUUACAAUCUCCAUCAGAUGACACUCCUAGGACAUUAUGUUAGACAAUGCAUGCAUUUUUAGUUCUAUCAAGUUCAUAUUUAUAUCCAAAAACAGCGUUUUACUAUGGCAUUGAUGUUGAGGAAAUCGUUUCCCUCCAAUAACCGGCAGUCAAGUCAGCACCACAAAUUAAAUAAUUAAAAUUAGAAAACAUUGGUAAAAUAUUAUAUUGUCAUUUAAAGAAUUAUAGAUUUACAUCUCUUGAACGCAAUCAACUUGCCAGAUUUAAAAAUAACCUUACUGGGAAAUCACACUUUGCAAUAAUCUGAGCACUGCGCCCAGAAAAAUAUGCUUUGCUAUACAGACAAACGGCCAUGUUGGAGAGAUCUAAAAUCGAAAAUACUAUGUAAAUAAUCCAUUACCUUUGAUUCUAUUCAUCAGAUGUCACUUCCAGGAAUCCCAGGUCCAUAACGAAUGUAGUUUUGUUCAAAAAAGCUCAUCAUUUAUAUCCAAAAAGCUCCGUGUUGUUAGCACAUGAUAUAAGCCAGCCGGACUUCUCGUCAUGAACGAGGGGAAAAAAUAUAUUUACGUUCGUUCAAACAUGUCAAACGUUGUAUAGCAUAAAUCAUUAGUGCCUUUUUUAACCAGAACAUGAAUAAUAUUCAAGGUGGACGAAUGCAUUCUCUUUUAUAACGUAUUGGAACGAGGGUACCCAACAUGAACUCGCGCGCCAGAGUCUAAUCGGCCAUCACCGUUCCAUGGCUCUUGUUCGGUCAGAUCUCACAGUAAAAGACUCAAAACACUUUGUAAAGGCUGGUGACAUCUAGUGGAAGCAAUAGGAAGUGCCAAAACAUUAAUCAACCCCUGUGUGUUUCAAUGGCAUAGGCUUAAAGGUCAUUCAACACAUCAGGUAUCCACUUCCUGUCAGAAAAUGUCUCAGGGUUUUGCCUGCCAAAUGAGUUCUGUUAUACUCACAGACACCAUUCAAACAGUUUUAGAAACUUUAGGGUGUUUUCUAUCCAUAUAUAAUAAGUAUAUGCAUAUUCUAGUUACUGGGUAGGAUUAGUAACCAGAUUAAAUCGGGUAAGUUUUUUUAUCCAGCCGUGAAAAUACUGCCCCCUAGCCCCAACAGGUUAAAGAGCAGCAGUAAAAUAACAGUUGCGAGGCUAUACACAGGGGGUACCGGUACAGAGUCAAUGUGCGGGGGCGCCAGUUAGUCGAGGUAAUUGAGGUAUUAUGUUCAUGAAGGAAGAAAUAAAGAGACUACGCAUAGAUAAUACACAGAGUAGCAGCAGCGUAAAAAUGGUGUGUGUGUGUGUGUGUGUGAUUAGCUGUUCAGGAGUCUUAUGGCUUGGGGGUAGAAGCUGUUAAGAAGCCUUUUGGACCAAGACUUGGUGCUCCGGUACCGCUUACCGUGUGGUAGCAGAGAGAACAGUCUAUGACUGGGGUGGCUGGAGUCUUUGGCUAUUUUUAGGACCUUCCUCUGACACUGCCUGGUGUAGAGGUCCUGGAUGGCAGGCAGCUUAACCCCAGUGAUGUACUGGGCCGUAGGCACUACCCUCUGUAGCGCCUUGUGGUUGAAGGCCGAGCAGUUGCCGUACCAGGCAGUGAUGCAACCAGUCAGGAUGCUAUCAAUGGUGCAGCUGUAGAACCUUUUUGAGGAUCUGAGGACCCAUGCCAUAUCUUUUCAGUCUCCUGAGGGGGAAUAGGCGUUGUCGUGCCCUCUUCAUGAUUGUCUUGGUGUGUUGG
rnacentral:lncRNA from 8 species